rnacentral:rRNA from 1 species
GGUUAAGCGACUAAGCGUACACGGUGGAUGCCCUGGCAGUCAGAGGCGAUGAAGGGCGUGCUAAUCUGCGAUAAGCGCCGGUAAGGUGAUAUGAACCGUUAUAACCGGCGAUACCCGAAUGGGGAAACCCAGUGUGACUCGUCACACUAUCAUUAACUGAAUUCAUAGGUUAAUGAGGCGAACCGGGGGAACUGAAACAUCUAAGUACCCCGAGGAAAAGAAAUCAACCGAGAUUCCCCCAGUAGCGGCGAGCGAACGGGGAGGAGCCCAGAGCCUGAAUCAGCAUGUGUGUUAGUGGAAGCGUCUGGAAAGGCGCGCGAUACAGGGUGACAGCCCCGUACACAAAAGCGCAUAUGCUGUGAGCUCGAUGAGUAGGGCGGGACACGUGGUAUCCUGUCUGAAUAUGGGGGGACCAUCCUCCAAGGCUAAAUACUCCUGACUGACCGAUAGUGAACCAGUACCGUGAGGGAAAGGCGAAAAGAACCCCGGCGAGGGGAGUGAAAAAGAACCUGAAACCGUGUACGUACAAGCAGUGGGAGCACCCUUUGGGGUGUGACUGCGUACCUUUUGUAUAAUGGGUCAGCGACUUAUAUUCUGUAGCAAGGUUAACCGAAUAGGGGAGCCGGAGGGAAACCGAGUCUUAA